rnacentral:rRNA from 1 species
UAGGGAAUCUUCGGCAAUGGGGGGGACCCUGACCGAGCAACGCCGCGUGAGUGAAGAAGGUUUUCGGAUCGUAAAGCUCUGUUGUAAGAGAAGAACGUGUGUGAGAGUGGAAAGUUCACACAGUGACGGUAACUUACCAGAAAGGGACGGCUAACUACGUGCCAGCAGCCGCGGUAAUACGUAGGUCCCGAGCGUUGUCCGGAUUUAUUGGGCGUAAAGCGAGCGCAGGCGGUUUGAUAAGUCUGAAGUAAAAGGCUGUGGCUUAACCAUAGUAUGCUUUGGAAACUGUCAAACUUGAGUGCAGAAGGGGAGAGUGGAAUUCCAUGUGUAGCGGUGAAAUGCGUAGAUAUAUGGAGGAACACCGGUGGCGAAAGCGGCUCUCUGGUCUGUAACUGACGCUGAGGCUCGAAAGCGUGGGGAGCAAACAGG